AUGUCGCCGCCAAUACAUCAACAAUGGUGGCGACAACUAUACAUCGCUACCAAUAUUAAUAAGGGAUAAUUGCCUAUAUACCCCUCAUACGUUUGAAAAUAUUAUACUUUUUUUUUCUUUCUAAAAUACCCUUCAUAUGUUUCACCGUUAUUGCAAAAUACCCCCGCAGUUAUCUCCUGUUAAGUUAACUUGGGUUAAAUGUGAGUUAACUAUCUACCACAGUUAAAAAAUAAUUACAAUGUCAAUUUUGCCCUUAACUUAAGGACAAAUAAAAAAUGUUGGUGACAGUAGAGGGGUAUAUUGGAAAAGACCAAAAGUCAAAAUACUUUUUGUACACCUGACUUUAAGGGCAAAUAAAAAAAUCAGUGAUGGUGGAAAGGUAUACUUGAAAGGGCAAAAUAGUAAUUUUACAAAGAUAAUAUAGUUAAUUAACAGAUUUUAACUCUAGGGGUAUAUUAGAAAUAGGUUGGAACGUAGAAAGGGUAUUUUUAAUAUUAGCCUUCUAAAAAGGGUAAAUCGAAAAGUCGGAAACUUUUCAGGGAUAUAUAAGCAAUUGCCCCUAUUAAUAAUAUGCAGCCAAGGGGGCAGGAGCCGGAGCUGGUGGGGUGGGUGUAGUGUGGUGUGGGGCCAUGUGGGGAAGGGGGUUGGGUAGCCAAUUAUUUUAUUUUAUUUUAUUUUAUUUUAUUUUAUUUUAUUUU
rnacentral:lncRNA from 1 species